rnacentral:miRNA from 1 species
UCUCGAAGCGAGUCUGAGUGA